GUGGACAUCGAUGCCGCGCCGUCUGGACGGGGAAACUGAGGCAAACUCCAUCAGUGAUCCAUGGGCUUUCUGCUCUCUUAUGCCCAGGAUCUACAAGGAGCCAAAACUGGACAGCAGCAGCCAUGUGGGGCAGGCACCUCAAGAACAGACCAUCCUCAGAGAGAAGCACUCAAAACUCUGGGCACAGCAUAUCUAAAAGACCGCUGAAAGCUCCAGGAUUAAAACCACGGUCAACGAUUCUGCUCUUCCAGCAAAAUGGAAUUUUCUACAACAGGAUAAAAAUCGUUGGUGGAACACACGAGCUUUAUCCUUCUUCGACCUGCCUUCUCUAGCUUUAACACAGAGCAGAGUGGACAGAUUUUAAAAAAAAAACACAACCCACCUCACCCAGUGCACUCAAUGCCCCACUGACAACUACGUGGAUGAAACAAAACAAUCACUACGCUCUCAAAGGAACUCCCACAGAAAAACAAUAAAAGACAAAAACACCCUGUCACCCACGGGUGAACAG